GGCCAUGUUUUUCCACAGCUUUCUUGAACUUAAAAUUUCUUUGUUCAUUCACCAACUAACUACAUAAUAUCUCAAUUCUAAACAAAGCUUUGAAGCUCAAGAAAGCUGUGGGAAAUCAUGACAC
rfam:Cucumis melo, WGS project CAJI01000000 data, contig: 35060